AAACGCCAACACAAUAUGGACUCUCCAAAAUUUCCCAAUUCCUUGCCCUAAUCUCGCAUCCGAUUGCUUCACUUUCUUUAGCUCGCAGUUUCAACCACUCGGCGAGUCGAAUCCAACAGGGUCCUGGAAACAGUGAUAUCGGCUUUCACUCCAUCGAGAGUGGCGUUCAAGGAAUGGAUAUGACGAGAUAAAUUUGUCAUGUGAUCAUGAUGCUUGGUGCAUUUGCAUUGGGAGCGCAAUACUUUCUGAGUAAUAACGUCAAGAUCAGGGAGACAUGAUGUGAGGAUCCACCACCUCCAAAGACUUACCUAUCAAUGUACCAAUAUUCCAUGUAUCAAGCCUCAUCAAGCACUCCUAGGCUAACUUCUUUAUCCAUAUCUGUCCAGAAAAAUGUGAGGAUCCUUGCCCAUUUAACACUACUACAUAAGGGAUCUAAUGCAAUGACUCUAGCUCAUUUAUCGUUGAACACAAGCCAUAUAGCGCUUUAUUUCAGAUUCUGGAAAGGUUUUUGGAAUGGCAGCAAUUUAUACUCUAUACAUCAUCCGUAAGUCUGGUGGAUUGAUCUAUUAUAAGAUUAUGGGUCUGCUGGACGAAUGGAUACCAAUGAUAGCUUGCGGGUGGCAAGUUUAUGGCAUUCAAUGCAUGCUAAUGCUAUCUCUCAGCAGUUAUCACCUGUUUCAGGUUGUUUAGGAAUUGAACUUCUCCAAGCAGAUACAUUUGAUCUUCAUUGUUUUCAAUCGCUGACAGGCCUUGCAGCUUGCAGCUUGCAGGUAGCUGUAGUAUGGCCAGUUUUCAAUUAAAGAUGGUUUCAGUAUAUCAGAAGCUCUAGAUAAUUACUGGGGCAAAAUUUUUUGUGGUCUGUGAGUCUGGAGCACAACACAUGGAAAAUUUAUUGAAAUUUGUCUAUGAAUUGUACACGGACUAUGUUUUGAAGAAUCCGUUCUAUCAUAUGGAGAUGCCUAUACAUUGUGAGCUCUUUGAUAUCAACCUAACACAGGCAGUAGAAAAGGACCGUGUUGCAUUUUGGGCCGAUGAAAUUCAUAUCCAACUGUUAUCACAUUUCUAUUCUGAUUAGUACAUAAUCUAACAUUUGUCAUUCAAUUACACUACCUGUAAGGGACGAGUCUCUUUUGCUGCUCCUAGCUCUUUUGUAUUUGCUCUUUUUGAACAAAUCAAGAUUUACAAUGUCUUAGAAAAAAUGUUUUCUGACACGAGAUUCGUCAUUUUCCAGCAAUGCUUUUCAUAUGGUAGUAGUUAGAAAUUGCCUGUGGUGCUACAUUGAUUACCUUUGUGUAUGGUUUGUUUUGCAGAUGUGAUUUAUUUUUAAUGAUGGUAGAACUCGAUGAAUGGACUAGGGUUCUUGCAAGAUUGGAUUUGGUGCACCCGGUCAAUAGUCAGUCGCAAUGUUGCAUGUUCCUUAGUUGGUUACUAGAUAGUCCAAUGAGUUUAUUGUCCUUUUCGAUUCAAAUCUGAUAUAGUACACACACAUAAAAAUCAUCUUACAUAUGCUUAGUUUUCAUUAUUUGAGAUAAUUGGUUCCACUUCUUGGGGGCUCACUUUUUGAUUAUGUCAUCACUCUUUAGUGUUUAUUGAAGUGAGAUGAUAAGGUGUUGUGCUCCAAGUAUCAUUACCAAAUCCGAUAUACAGUGACCUAUGUGCAUAAAAUUUACUGGGUUUAGUUGCCCAGGGAACAAAUUUAGACAUAGACUAUAUGUUUAAGUUUGAAAUUUUGUUCAUUUUACAUGUAAUUUGAUUUAACGACUUUUAAGGCUUAGUAAUUAACUUUGCCCAUUAUUUUGUAA